AACAAACGCUGGCGGCGUGCCUAACACAUGCAAGUCGUACGAGAAAAUUCGCUUCGGCGAGUAAGUAAAGUGGCGCACGGGUGAGUAACGCGUGGAUAAUCUACCCUUUAGCUGGGGAUAACUCAUCGAAAGGUCGGCUAAUACCCGAUAAUACUGCUUCUACUGCGGUUGAGCAGUCAAAGGUAGCCUCUGUUACAAGCUUCCACUGGAGGAUGAGUCCGCGUAUCAUUAGCUAGUUGGUAGGGUAAUGGCCUACCAAGGCGACGAUGGUUAGCUGGUCUGAGAGGAUGAUCAGCCACACUGGAACUGAGACACGGUCCAGACUCCUACGGGAGGCAGCAGUGAGGAAUCUUGCGCAAUGGGGGAAACCCUGACGCAGCAACGCCGCGUGAGUGAGGAAGGUUUUCGGAUCGUAAAGCUCUGUCAGGUGGGAAGAAAUGUAUAGGGGUUAACAGCCCUUAUUCUUGACGGUACCACCAGUGGAAGCACCGGCCAACUCCGUGCCAGCCGCCGCGGUAACAC
rnacentral:rRNA from 1 species